rfam:Myotis brandtii contig157630, whole genome shotgun sequence.
AGGCCCAGAGAGAGAAGCAGGGGCUGAUCCUCAGCCUCCAUGGCAGCUGUUGAUCAACCCUUGCCUCUCUCUCUCCUGGCC